rnacentral:rRNA from 1 species
GAUGAACGCUGGCGGCGUGCCUAAUACAUGCAAGUCGAACGAAACUUCUUUAUCACCGAGUGCUUGCACUCACCGAUAAAGAGUUGAGUGGCGAACGGGUGAGUAACACGUGGGCAACCUGCCCAAAAGAGGGGGAUAACACUUGGAAACAGGUGCUAAUACCGCAUAACCAUAGUUACCGCAUGGUAACUAUGUAAAAGGUGGCUAUACUACCGCUUUUGGAUGGGCCCGCGGCGCAUUAGCUAGUUGGUAGGGUAAAGGCUUACCAAGGCAAUGAAGCGUAGCCGAAUUGAGAGGUUGAUCGGCCACAUUGGGACUGAGACACGGCCCAAACUCCUACGGGAGGCAGCAGUAGGGAAUCUUCCACAAUGGGCGAAAGCCUGAUGGAGCAACGCCGCGUGGGUGAAGAAGGUCUUCGGAUCGUAAAACCCUGUUGUUAGAGAAGAAAGUGCGUGAGAGUAACUGUUCACGUUUCGACGGUAUCUAACCAGAAAGCCACGGCUAACUACGUG